AAAACAGGAAAAUUCUCGCCUGACAGGUUCAUCUCAAUGCUUCUCUUAGCACUGAAAUGUUAUGUUCGUUUCUAGGAUUUGAAAAAGGUUUGAAAACAUUUUAAACACUGAACGUAAUCUGCUUUUAAUGUACUGUGUUCAGUGAACAGGGAAGUUUUGUUGUAAACCAUCUUCACUCCAUGAUCUCUGAAUAAUUCGCAUCACGCUUUAUUGAGUUUUCCUCUGAUGUGAUUUGGGAAGCAUGCAGGAUACCGUGGGGUGUAAUGCAGCAUUCCUGCUCUUCUGGGGAAUCUUGAAUUCUUACUUUCCUCUAGAUUGCUGCCAAACUGCCCCUACUUUUACUGCCAGUUAUUCUCCAGACCUUUAUGUCUCUGUUUCUACAACAACUCCAGACUCAAGUUCAUCUAUCUUCACCACAACAUCAGAAUCAAAUCCCCUCACAAACACAAGUACAACCGAGUCUUACUCCACCAUUCAAGCCACUACACAACUGAAGAACACUUCUCUCAGUGACACUUCUGACUCAACAUUAAACCAACAAAGCAUUGCCACUCAAACAACGGAGCCCUUAACUAGUGCCACUGCACAUGGGAUCAGUUCAACAGGAAGCACUAAAACAACUAGCUCGGACACAUCAACAACAUCUGAGACACCUACACUGACUCCAAAUCAUGCAAACAAUGAUUCCAUUACCACCACUGAUUCCAAAACACAAUAUAAAGUAGAGCAAACCUCAGACAGCAAUACAUCCAUUUUUUGGUCUACUGGAACAUUAACUGGUACCCAAAGACCUGAGCCAACAAAUGGAACUUCAACCAAGAGUAGUGUCACAAAGACAUCAUAUUCUGAAUUGACAACAACAAUAAUUGUGCCUACAACAACUCCAGACUCUUCAUUAGCGUCCCCUGAUGUGUCUUCUAAAACAUCAUACUCCACUUUGACAACAACACAACAGCUUGAGUCAUCAGACCAUGCUCAAGUCUCCAUCACAUCAAAUGAAUCGACAACUACAAUGAUUUCCUCUACAACAACUCCAGACUCAAGUUCAUCUAUCUUCACCAAAACAUCAGAACCAAAUACCAUCACAAACACAAGUACAACUGAGUCUUACUCAACCAUUCAACCAACUACACAACUGAAGAACACUUCUCUCAGUGACACUUCUGACUCAAUAUCAGAACAACAAAGCACUGCCACUCAAACAACGGAGCCCUUAACCAAUGCCACUGCACAUGGGAUCAGUUCAACAGGAAGCACUAAAACAACUAGCUCGGACACAUCAACAACAUCUGAGAUACCUACACUGACUCCAAUUCAUGCAAACAAUGAUUCCAUUACCACCACUGAUUCCAAAAUACAAUAUAAUUUAGAGAAAACCUCAGUCAGCAAUACAUCCAUUUCUUGGUCUACUGGAACAUUAACUGAUACCCAAAGGCCUGAGCCAACAAACGAAACUUCAACCAACAGUAGUGUCAAAAAGACAGCAUUUUCUGAAUCGACAACAACAAUGCUUGUGUCUAAAACAACUGCAGGCUCUUCAUUUCCGUCUUCUCUAACAUCAUACUCCACUGUUACAACAACACAACAGCUUGAGUCCUCAGACAAUACUCAAGUCUCCAUCACAUCAAAUGAAUCGAAAACUACAAUGAUUUCCUCUACAACAACUCCAGACUCAAGUUCAUCUCUCUUCACCAAAACAUCAGAACCAAAUACCCUCACAAACACAAGUAAAACCGAGUCUUACUCAACCAUAAAAACAACUACACAACUGAAGAACACUUCUCUCAGUGACACUUCUGACUCAAGAUUAAACCAACAAAGCAUUGCCACUCAAACAACGGAGCCCUUAACCAAUGCUACUGCACAUGGGAUCAGUUCAACAGGAAGCACUAAAACAACUAGCUCGGAUACAUCAACAACAUCUGAGACACCUAAACUGACUCCAAUUCAUGUAAACAAUGAUUCCAUUACCACCACUGAUUCCAAAACAAAGUAUAAAGUAGAGCAAACCUCAGAUAGCAAUACAUCUAUUUCUUGGUCUACUGGAACAUUAACUGGCACCCAAAGGCCUGAGCCAAUAACCGACACUUUAACCAACAGUAGUGUCACAAAGACAUCAUAUACUGAAUCGACAACAACAAUAACUGUGCCUACAACAACUCCAAACUCUUCAUUAGCAUCCCCUGAUGUGUCUUCUCAAACAUCAUACUCCACUGUGACAACAACACAACAGCUUGAUUCAUCAGACCAUACACAAUUCUCCAUCACAUCAAAUGAAUCGACAACUACAAUGAUUUCCUCUACAACAACUCCAGACAUAAGUUCAUCUAUCUUCACCAAAACAUCAGAACCAAAUACCCUCACAAACACAAGUAAAACUGAGUCUUACUCAACCAUAAAAACAACUACACAACUGAAGAACACUUCUCUUAGUGACACUUCUGACUCAACCUUAAACCAACAAAGCAUUGCCACUCAAACAACGGAGCCCUUAACCAAUGCUACUGCACAUGGGAUCAGUUCAACAGGAAGCACUAAAACAACUAGCUCGGACACAUCAACAACAUCUGAGACACCUAAACUGACUCCAAAUCAUGCAAACAAUGAUUACAUUACCACCACUGAUUCCAAAACACAAUAUAAAGUAGAGCAAACCUCAAACAGCAAUACAUCCAUUUAUUGGUCUACUGGAACCCAAAGGCCUGAGCCAACAACCGAAACUUUAACCAACAGUAGUGUAACAAAGACAUCAUAUACUGAAUUGACAACAACAAUAAUUGUGCCUAAAACAACUCCAAACUCUUCAUUAGCAUCCCCUGAUGUGUCUUCUCAAACAUCAUACUCCACUGUGACAACAACACAACAGCUUGAUUCAUCAGACCAUACUCAAGUCUCCAUCACAUCAAAUGAAUCGACAGCUAAAAUGUUUUCCUCUACAACAACUCCAGACUCAAGUUCAUCUAUCUUCACCAAAACAUCAGAACCAAAUACCCUCACAAACACAAGUACAACCGAGUCUCACUCAACCAUUCAACCAACUACACAACUGAAGAACACUUCUCUCAGUGACACUUCUGACUCAACAUCAAAACAACAAAGCAUUGCCACUCAAACCAUGGAGCCCUUAACCAAUGCCAAUGCACAUGGGAUCAGUUCAACAGGAAGCACUAAAACAACUAGCUCGGACACAUCAACAACAUCUGAGACACAUAAACUGACUCCAAUUCAUUCAAACAAUAAUUCCAUUACCACCACUGAUUCCAAAACACAAUAUAAUGUAGAGCAAACCUCAGACAGCAAUACAUCCAUUUCUUGGAUUACUGGAACAUUAACUGGUACCCAAAGGCCUGAGCCAACAAUCAAAACUUCAACCAACAGUAAUUUCACUAAGACAGCAUUUUCUGAAUUGACAGCAACAAUGCUUGCACCUACAACAACUACAGGCUCUUUAUUUCCGUCUUCUAUAACAUCAUACUCCACUAUGACAACAACACAACAGCUUGAGUCAUCAGACCAUACUCAAGUCUCCAUCACAUCAAAUGAAUCGACAGCUAAAAUGAUUUCCUCUACAACAACUCCAGACUCAAGUUCAUCUAUCUUCACCAAAACAUCAGAACCAAAUCCCCUCACAAACACAAGUACAACUGAGUCUUACUCAACCAUUCAACCAACUACACAACUGAAGAACACUUCUCUCAGUGACACUUCUGACUCAACAUCAAAACAACAAAGCAAUGCCACUCAAACCAUGGAGCCCUUAACCACUGCCACUGCACAUGGGAUAAGUUCAACAGGAAGCACUAAAACAACUAGCUCGGACACAUCAACAACAUCUGAGACACCUAUACUGACUCCAAUUCAUGCAAACAAUGAUUCCAUUACCACCACUGAUUCCAAAACACAAUAUAAAGUAGAGCAUACCUCAGACAGCAAUACAUCCAUUUAUUGGUCUACUGGAACAUUAACUGGUACCCAAAGGCCUGAGCCAACAACCGAAACUUCAACCAACAGUAGUGUCACAAAGACAUCAUAUACUGAAUUGACAACAACAAUAAUUGUGCCUACAACAACUCCAAACUCUUCAUUAGCAUCCCCUGAUGUGUCUUCUCAAACAUCAUACUCCACUGUGACAACAACACAACAGCUUGAUUCAUCAGACCAUACUCAAGUCUCCAUCACAUCAAAUGAAUCGACAACUACAACGAUUUCCUCUACAACAACUCCAGACUCAAGUUCAUCUAUCUUCAUCAAAACAUCAGAACCAAAUACCCUCACAAACACAAGUACAACCGAGUCUUACUCAACCAUUCAACCAACUACACAACUGAAGAACACUUCUCUCAGUGACACUUCUGACUCAACAUUAAACCAACAAAGCAUUGCCACUAAAACAACGGAGCCCUUAACCAAUGCUACUGCACAUGGGAUCAGUUCAACAGGAAGCACUAAAACAACUAACUCGGACACAUCAACAACAUCUGAGAUACCUACACUGACUCCAAUUCAUGCAAAUAAUAAUUCCAUUACCACCACUGAUUCCAAAACACAAUAUAAUGUAGAGCAUACCUCAGACAGCAAUACAUCCAUUUCUUGGAUUACUGGAACAUUAACUGGCACCCAAAAACCUGAGCCAACAAUCAAAACUUCAGCCAACAGUAAUUUCACUAAGACAGCAUUUUCUGAAUUGACAGCAACAAUGCUUGCACCUACAACAACUACAGGCUCUUUAUUUCCGUCUUUUAUAACAUCAUACUCAACUGUGACAACAACACAACAGCUUGAGUCAUCAGACCAUACUCAAGUCUCCAUCACAUCAAAUGAAUCGACAGCUAAAAUGAUUUCCUCUACAACAACUACAGACUCAAGUUCAUCUAUCUUCACCAAAACAUCAGAACCAAAUACCCUCACAAACACAAGUACAACUGAGUCUCACUCAACUAUUCAACCAACUACACAACUGAAGAACACUUCUCUUAGUGACACUUCUGACUCAAUAUCAGAACAACAAAGCAUUGCCACUCAAACCAUGGAGCCCUUAACCAAUGCCACCGCACAUGGGAUAAGUUCAACAGGAAGCACUAAAACAACUAGCUCGGACACAUCAACAACAUCUGAGACACCUAAACUGACUCCAAUUCAUGCAAACAAUAAUUCCAUUACCACCACUGAUUCCAAAACACAAUAUAAUGUAGAGCAUACCUCAGACAGCAAUACAUCCAUUUCUUGGAUUACUGGAACAUUAACUGGUACCCAAAAACCUGAGCCAACAAUCAAAACUUCAACCAACAGUAAUUUCACUAAGACAGCAUUUUCUGAAUUGACAGCAACAAUGCUUGCACCUACAACAACUACAGGCUCUUUAUUUCCGUCUUCUAUAACAUCAUACUCCAUUGUGACAACAACACAACAGCUUGAUUCAUCAGACCAUACUCAAGUCUCCAUCACAUCAAAUGAAUCGACAGCUAAAAUGUUUUCCUCUACAACAACUCCAGACUCAAGUUCAUCUAUCUUCACCAAAACAUCAGAACCAAAUCCCCUCACAAACACAAGUUCAGCCGAGUCUUACUCAACCAUUCAACCAACUACACAACUGAAGAACACUUCUCUCAGUGACACUUCUGACUCAACAUCAAACCAACAAAGCAUUGCCACUCAAACAACGGAGCCCUUAACCAAUGCUACUGCACAUGGGAUCAGUUCAACAGGAAGCACUAAAACAACUAGCUCGGAUACAUCAACAACAUCUGAGACACCUACACUGACUCCAAUUCAUUCAAACAAUGAUUCCAUUACUACCACUGAUUCCAAAACACAAUAUAAAGUAGAGCAUACCUCAGACAGCAAUACAUCCAUUUAUUGGUCUACUGGAACAUCAACUGGUACCCAAAGGCCUGAGCCAACAACCGAAACUUCAACCAACAGUAGUGUCACAAACACAUCAUUUUCUGAAUCGACAACAACAAUGCUUGCAUCUACAACUACAGGCUCUUCAUUUCCGUCUUCUAAAACAUCAUACUCCACUGUUACAACAACACAACAGCUUGAUUCAUCAGACCAUACUCAAGUCUCCAUCACAUCAAAUGAAUCGACAGCUAAAAUUAUUUCCUCUACAACAACUACAGACUCAAGUUCAUCUAUCUUCACCAAAACAUCAGAACCAAAUCCCCUCACAAACACAAGUACAACUGAGUCUCACUCAACCAUUCAACCAACUACACAACUGAAGAACACUUCUCUAAGUGACACUUCUGACUCAAUAUCAGAACAACAAAGCAUUGCCACUCAAACCAUGGAGCCCUUAACCACUGCCACUGCACAUGGGAUAAGUUCAACAGGAAGCACUAAAACAACUAGCUCGGACACAUCAACAACAUCUGAGACACCUAAACUGACUCCAAUUCAUGCAAACAAUAAUUCCAUUACCACCACUGAUUCCAAAACACAAUAUAAUGUAGAGCAAACCUCAGACAGCAAUACAUCCAUUUCUUGGAUUACUGGAACAUUAACUGGUACCCAAAAACCUGAGCCAACAAUCAAAACUUCAACCAACAGUAAUUUCACUAAGACAGCAUUUUCUGAAUUGACAGCAACAAUGCUUGCACCUACAACAACUACAGGCUCUUUAUUUCCGUCUUCUAUAACAUCAUACUCCACUGUGACAACAACACAACAGCUUGAGUCAUCAGACCAUACUCAAGUCUCCAUCACAUCAAAUGAAUCGACAGCUAAAAUUAUUUCCUCUACAACAACUCCAGACUCAAGUUCAUCUAUCUUCACCAAAACAUCAGAACCAAAUCCCCUCACAAACACCAGUACAACCGAGUCUUACUCAACCAUUCAACCAACUACACAACUGAAGAACACUUCUCUCAGUGACACUUCUGACUCAGCAUCAAACCAACAAAGCAUUGCCACUCAAACAACGGAGCCCUUAACCAAUGCUACUGUACAUGGGAUCAGUUCAACAGGAAGCACUAAAACAACUAGCUCGGAUACAUCAACAACAUCUGAGACACCUAAACUGACUCCAAUUCAUGCAAACAAUAAUUCCAUUACCACCACUGAUUCCAAAACACAAUAUAAUGUAGAGCAAACAUCAGACAGCAAUACAUCCAUUUCUUGGAUUACUGGAACAUUAACUGGCACCCAAAAACCUGAGCCAACAAUCAAAACUUCAACCAACAGUAAUUUCACUAAGACAGCAUUUUCUGAAUUGACAGCAACAAUGCUUGCACCUACAACAACUACAGGCUCUUUAUUUCCGUCUUCUAUAACAUCAUACUCCACUGUGACAACAACACAACAGCUUGAGUCAUCAGACCAUACUCAAGUCUCCAUCACAUCAAAUGAAUCGACAGCUAAAAUUAUUUCCUCUACAACAACUCCAGACUCAAGUUCAUCUAUCUUCACCAAAACAUCAGAACCAAAUCCCCUCACAAACACCAGUACAACCGAGUCUUACUCAACCAUUCAACCAACUACACAACUGAAGAACACUUCUCUCAGUGACACUUCUGACUCAGCAUCAAACCAACAAAGCAUUGCCACUCAAACAACGGAGCCCUUAACCAAUGCUACUGUACAUGGGAUCAGUUCAACAGGAAGCACUAAAACAACUAGCUCGGAUACAUCAACAACAUCUGAGACACCUACACUGACUCCAAUUCAUUCAAACAAUGAUUCCAUUACCACCACUGAUUCCAAAACACAAUAUAAAGUAGAGCAUACCUCAGACAGCAAUACAUCCAUUUAUUGGUCUACUGGAACAUCAACUGGUACCCAAAGACCUGAGCCAACAACCGAAACUUCAACCAACAGUAGUGUCACAAAGACAUCAUUUUCUGAAUCGACAACAACAAUGCUUGCGUCUACAACUACAGGCUCUUCAUUUCCGUCUUCUAAAACAUCAUACUCCACUGUUACAACAACACAACAGCUUGAGUCAUCAGACCAUACUCAAGUCACCAUAACAUCAAAUGAAUCGACAACUACAAUGAUUUCCUCUACAACAACUCCAGACUCAAGUUCAUCUAUCUUCACCAAAACAUCAGAACCAAAUACCCUCACAAACACAAGUACAGCCGAGUCUCACUCAACCAUUCAACCAACUACACAACUGAAGAACACUUCUCUAAGUGACACUUCUUACUCGCCAGCAAUCUACCAAUCUAUUAAUGAAUUAAAUACUACAUCUUUCAACCAUCUGAAAACACAAAUGUCUCAAACAUUUGCUGCUGCCACUGCACUUAUUCAGCCUCCAUCGUCACCAAUCACGCCAGACAAUGAAUAUACUGCAGAGCCUUCAUUUACAACAUCAACACUGACAGACUUCAAAAGCACACUGAUAAAUGUACAGAAAGCAGCAUCUAUGUCAUCUCCAUCAGAAAAUCUGCUAAAUGACAGUCAAGAAACUCCAACACCUGUGACAGAAUCGCAAUCAUCUCAGUCCACAACAAAUUAUAUAACACUUAAUUCUAGUUUGACUAUUUCCUCAGACUCAACAACACUGGUUCAGACCUCAAGCCCUGACAUACCAGUGAAAGUUACAGCUACACCUGAACACAUCCACCCAGAGCGCUCACAAACAACUGUAACUGAUUUCAGAGCAUCAACUCUACAGAGAACAUCUACAACAACACCAACGCUGGUUCCCAGCCAUCUGCAAACUCAGGAAACAGUUUCAAGACAAGCAGUGACACCUGAUUCAAAGUCCACAUCCAUGAACAUGCCCUCAAUGUUUCCAACCACUCAGGAAAACCAAAAAACGAACACUCACACAUCCUUAAGUCCAAUUUCUCCCACAUCUCCGCUCAGGUCCCUAAGCAAUGACUCAAAACCCGUCACCACUUCAUUAGCUCAUGAAUACAGAGGCUCAGCUUUGGUGAUAUUAACUCAAAGUGGGCUAAACAGGUCUGAUUCAGAAGGUACUACAAUCAAAGACACCUGGUCAAACAACAUAUCUUCAAUACCAGCAGGUCUAACAAACCCACCAUUGUCAAGCAACACCAGCAGAGAUGGAAAUACAGAUAACUCUGCAAACUCAGUGAAAAGCACCACUUUUUUUGUCUUCAACACUCCCAAAGUGCCUGUGUUUAAAACAAUCACCUUUAAUCACCCAUUGGUUAAUCAAGUCACAGUGAUGAAAACUGUUUCAAGACCAUGAAACGGUCAUAUAAAAUGACUUAAAAGCAAAGUGUGUGAGUCUGAGAGCUUAUAUCUGGCUCCUCGUGUGCAUGACUAAUGUGGAAGAGCCAGAGACAGAUCAGGAAUAUAAAGAAUGUAGAAGUUGAAAUGUUUUUGUGGUUACUGAACAUCAAGCAGAUCAUAUGACUAAGUGCCACACACCAACAAACAAAUAAACAAAGACUGAAACCAAAUGUGAUGGAAGAACAGAUUUAAUGUUGGUUUAAUAAAGACUAACUUUCAUUUCAACAAUGUGUCAAAUAUAUUAUAGCCAGGGUGCGAUUUGUGAAAAAAACAGAGGGGGGGAUGCUUUUGAAAAAUUUUAUUAAAUGUUUUUAAUACGACAGAAAUUGUAUUUAGUGUGAUCUCAGUUUAAUAAAAACAUUGUAAGCCUACGUUAGGCCUAUUAAUUGUAAUGAUUUAAUGUCCACGGUUAUUCAAACAACAAAUUACAUCGAGAAAGCGAGCAAAGAACACAACGGAGCUUUUGAAACUCCGAAUCAGUUAAACCAUUGCGUCGCAAAAAAAAAGUUUCGAAGCACUCCAAUCGGAUCACGUAUCGUGAAUCAUUUGAUUCAGAUCGGGACGUCAGAGUGGGUUUGCAUGAUGUUUUUAUCCCCACCGGGGAUAAAAGUUAUUCAGCAGAGGCAGGGAUGCAUAGACCAGAGAGGGGGAAAUCCCCCCCAUCCCCCCCGACAAAUCGCACCCUGAUUAUAGCAGUGCUUCCCAAACCUGUCCUGGAGGACCCCCUGCCCUGCAUGUUUUGUAUGUCUCCCUAAUCUAACACACCUGAUUCCACUCACCAGACUAAAUUGGGUGUGUCUGAUUAGGGAGACAUACAAAACAUGCAGGGCAGGCAGUCCUCCAGGACAGGUUUGGGAACCACUGUAUUAUAGUUUGUAGAAACAUCUAUGCAUAUAAACAAUAACAUGCAAAACCUUUUGCUCUUUGUAUUAUUUCACCUCUUUUGUCGCUUACAUACUAAUCUUGUAUUUUCAUUUUAAAAUUGUGUUCUAGGUAUAUGGUUGGUUCCUACGACAAAUUACUUGUGAUUUUCCUCAUGUGUAAGAUGCUAUAAAAUCAUCUGCUGAAUUGAUGUAUUCACAAUAUGUCAGAUUAAAUCUUUUUAAAUUAAAAAAAGCA
ensembl:lncRNA